rnacentral:rRNA from 1 species
ACAACGAAGAGUUUGAUCCUGGCUCAGGAUGAACGCUAGCGACAGGCUUAACACAUGCAAGUCGAGGGGCAGCACAGGUAGCAAUACCGGGUGGCGACCGGCGCACGGGUGAGUAACGCGUAUGCAACUUACCUAUCAGAGGGGGAUAACCCGGCGAAAGUCGGACUAAUACCGCAUGAAGCAGGGGCCCCGCAUGGGGAUAUUUGCUAAAGAUUCAUCGCUGAUAGAUAGGCAUGCGUUCCAUUAGGCAGUUGGCGGGGUAACGGCCCACCAAACCGACGAUGGAUAGGGGUUCUGAGAGGAAGGUCCCCCACAUUGGUACUGAGACACGGACCAAACUCCUACGGGAGGCAGCAGUGAGGAAUAUUGGUCAAUGGGCGUAAGCCUGAACCAGCCAAGUCGCGUGAGGGAUGAAGGUUCUAUGGAUCGUAAACCUCUUUUAUAAGGGAAUAAAGUGCGGGACGUGUCCCGUUUUGUAUGUACCUUAUGAAUAAGGAUCGGCUAACUCCGUGCCAGCAGCCGCGGUAAUACGGAGGAUCCGAGCGUUAUCCGGAUUUAUUGGGUUUAAAGGGUGCGUAGGCGGCCUUUUAAGUCAGCGGUGAAAGUCUGUGGCUCAACCAUAGAAUUGCCGUUGAAACUGGGGGGCUUGAGUAUGUUUGAGGCAGGCGGAAUGCGUGGUGUAGCGGUGAAAUGCUUAGAUAUCACGCAGAACCCCGAUUGCGAAGGCAGCCUGCCAAGCCAUGACUGACGCUGAUGCACGAAAGCGUGGGGAUCAAACAGGAUUAGAUACCCUGGUAGUCCACGCAGUAAACGAUGAUCACUAGCUGUUUGCGAUACAGUGUAAGCGGCACAGCGAAAGCGUUAAGUGAUCCACCUGGGGAGUACGCCGGCAACGGUGAAACUCAAAGGAAUUGACGGGGGCCCGCACAAGCGGAGGAACAUGUGGUUUAAUUCGAUGAUACGCGAGGAACCUUACCCGGGUUUGAACGCAUUCGGACCGAGGUGGAAACACCUUUUCUAGCAAUAGCCGUUUGCGAGGUGCUGCAUGGUUGUCGUCAGCUCGUGCCGUGAGGUGUCGGCUUAAGUGCCAUAACGAGCGCAACCCUUGCCACUAGUUACUAACAGGUAAAGCUGAGGACUCUGGUGGGACUGCCAGCGUAAGCUGCGAGGAAGGCGGGGAUGACGUCAAAUCAGCACGGCCCUUACAUCCGGGGCGACACACGUGUUACAAUGGCGUGGACAAAGGGAGGCCACCUGGCGACAGGGAGCGAAUCCCCAAACCACGUCUCAGUUCGGAUCGGAGUCUGCAACCCGACUCCGUGAAGCUGGAUUCGCUAGUAAUCGCGCAUCAGCCAUGGCGCGGUGAAUACGUUCCCGGGCCUUGUACACACCGCCCGUCAAGCCAUGGGAGCCGGGGGUACCUGAAGUCCGUAACCGAAAGGAUCGGCCUAGGGUAAAACUGGUGACUGGGGCUAAGUCGUAACAAGGUAGCCGUACCGGAAGGUGCGGCUGGAACACCUCCUUU